UCAUUUUAGUGGUAUAUAAAAGAAUUUCUAAAAGCAGUUGACAAAAAAAAAUCAAAUCUGUCAUAAUAUGAGUUUCCAAAUAAA
rnacentral:sRNA from 1 species